rnacentral:rRNA from 1 species
ACACAUGCAAGUCGAGGGGCAGCAUGAACUUAGCUUGCUAAGUUUGAUGGCGACCGGCGCACGGGUGAGUAACACGUAUCCAACCUGCCGAUGACUCGGGGAUAGCCUUUCGAAAGAAAGAUUAAUACCCGAUGGCAUAGUUCUUCCGCAUGGUAGAACUAUUAAAGAAUUUCGGUCAUCGAUGGGGAUGCGUUCCAUUAGGUUGUUGGCGGGGUAACGGCCCACCAAGCCUUCGAUGGAUAGGGGUUCUGAGAGGAAGGUCCCCCACAUUGGAACUGAGACACGGUCCAAACUCCUACGGGAGGCAGCAGUGAGGAAUAUUGGUCAAUGGACGAGAGUCUGAACCAGCCAAGUAGCGUGAAGGAUGACUGCCCUAUGGGUUGUAAACUUCUUUUAUACGGGAAUAAAGUGAGGCACGUGUGCCUUUUUGUAUGUACCGUAUGAAUAAGGAUCGGCUAACUCCGUGCCAGCAGCCGCGGUAAUACGGAGGAUCCGAGCGUUAUCCGGAUUUAUUGGGUUUAAAGGGAGCGUAGGCGGACGCUUAAGUCAGUUGUGAAAGUUUGCGGCUCAACCGUAAAAUUGCAGUUGAUACUGGGUGUCUUGAGUACAGUAGAGGCAGGCGGAAUUCGUGGUGUAGCGGUGAAAUGCUUAGAUAUCACGAAGAACUCCGAUUGCGAAGGCAGCUUGCUGGACUGUAACUGACGCUGAUGCUCGAAAGUGUGGGUAUCAAACAGGAUUAGAUACCCUGGUAGUCCACACAGUAAACGAUGAAUACUCGCUGUUUGCGAUAUACAGUAAGCGGCCAAGCGAAAGCGUUAAGUAUUCCACCUGGGGAGUACGCCGGCAACGGUGAAACUCAAAGGAAUUGACGGGGG